rnacentral:pre_miRNA from 1 species
ACUUCCUCCGUUUCACAAUGUAAGUCAUUUUAGCAUUUCCCAUAUUCAUAUUGAUGCUAAUGAAUAUAUAUAAAUAUAUAUGUCUAGAUUCAUUAGCAUCAAUAUGAAUGUGAGAAAUGUUAGAAUGACUUACAUUGUGAAACGGAGGGAGU